rnacentral:rRNA from 1 species
GCCCCAAGCGGUGGAUGAUGUGGUUUAAUUCGAUGCAACGCGAAAAACCUUACCCACCUUUGACAUGUACGGAAUCCUUUAGAGAUAGAGGAGUGCUCUAAAGAGAGCCGUAACACAGGUGCUGCAUGGCUGUCGUCAGCUCGUGUCGUGAGAUGUUGGGUUAAGUCCCGCAACGAGCGCAACCCUUGUCAUUAGUUGCUACAUUCAGUUGGGCACUCUAAUGAGACUGCCGGUGACAAACCGGAGGAAGGUGGGGAUGACGUCAAGUCCUCAUGGCCCUUAUAGGUGGGGCUACACACGUCAUACAAUGGCUGGUACAGAGGGUUGCCAACCCGCGAGGGGGAGCCAAUCCCAUAAAGCCAGUCGUAUUCCGGAUCGCACUCUGCAACUCGACUGCGUGAAGUCGGAAUCUCUAUUAAUCGCAGAUCAAAAUGUCGCGGAGAAAAUUUUCCCGGGUCUCGUACACACCGCCC